CAUCAGCAUGAAAAGAAUCCUUUGCCCAGGCGGGAGAUUAGGGUGGUCAGCAGGAAUCCCUGCACCCGAAAUUCAGAUCAGAAUGGGAAAAGCACUGCUGAAAGCUGAUUUGUAGUAUAUUGAUCUGAAUGGUAUUUACACCUGAGUGCAACUGCCUUGAA
rnacentral:lncRNA from 1 species